rnacentral:rRNA from 1 species
AGAGUUUGAUCAUGGCUCAGAACGUACGCUGGCGGCACGCCUAAUACAUGCAAGUCGAACGAACUAUCCAUACUUAGUGGCACACGGGUGAGUUACAUGUGGGUUUCUGCCCUUUGGCCUGGAAUAACACGAGGAAACUUGUGCUAAUACCGGAUAAGUCUUUACCGAGAAAGCUUUAUGCGCCAUUGGAUGAGCCUGCACUUGAUUAGUUUGUUGGUGGGGUAAUGGCCUUCCAAGACUGUGAUCCAUACCUGAUUUGAGAGGAUGAUCAGCCACAUUGGGAUGAGACACGGCCCAU